CCGGAGAUUACUCCAACCCUGUGAACAUACCAAUUGUUGCCUCGGCGGAUCAGCCCGCUCCCGGUAAAACGGGACGGCCCGCCAGAGGACCCCUAAACUCUGUUUCUAUAUGUAACUUCUGAGUAAAACCAUAAAUAAAUCAAAACUUUCAACAACGGAUCUCUUGGUUCUGGCAUCGAUGAAGAACGCAGCAAAAUGCGAUAAGUAAUGUGAAUUGCAGAAUUCAGUGAAUCAUCGAAUCUUUGAACGCACAUUGCGCCCGCCAGUAUUCUGGCGGGCAUGCCUGUUCGAGCGUCAUUUCAACCCUCAAGCCCCCGGGUUUGGUGUUGGGGAUCGGCGAGCCCUUGCGGCAAGCCGGCCCCGAAAUCUAGUGGCGGUCUCGCUGCAGCUUCCAUUGCGUAGUAGUAAAACCCUCGCAACUGGUACGCGGCGCGGCCAAGCCGUUAAACCCCCAACUUCUGAAUGUUGACCUCGGAUCAGGUAGGAAUACCCGCUGAACUUAAGCAUAUCUAANGGCCGGAGGAAA
rnacentral:rRNA from 1 species